rnacentral:lncRNA from 1 species
AUGAUGGUGCAGUGAGGAGAUUGGGGGAGGUCCGAUACAUACCCAAUUUUAGGUGGAAUCUUAUCUCACUAAGCAGACCGGAUUCGAGAGGCUACAGGACGGUAGCUCAUGGAGGAAUUCUAAAAGUGCUAUGCGGCGAUAGAAUUAUUUUGGAAGGGAAGAAGGGGAGGAAAGGAUAUUAUUACCUGACGAAAAGUCCAGUGCGAGGUGGAGCUUCAAGUGGAAGUGGAUCGAGUAUGAGAUAGGAGACUUGGAAGAACGAGAAGCGACGUCGCAAGGUAAAAUUUCUAUUGCCGCAAGAUGAUGUCUCGAGCAGGUCUC